rnacentral:misc_RNA from 1 species
GAUGAAGAACGUAGCGAAAUGCGAUAAGUAAUGUGAAUUGCAGAAUUCAGUGAAUCAUCGAAUCUUUGAACGCACAUUGCGCCCGCUAGUAUUCUGGCGGGCAUGCCUGUCCGAGCGUCAUUUCAACCCUCAGGGCCCGCCUGCUUGCAGGCGCGGCGCUGGUGUUGGGGAUCGGCUACCCUGCCGUCCCCCAAAUACAGUGGCGGUCUCGCUGCAGCCUCCCCUGCGUAGUAGCAACACUCGCAUGCGGAGCGCGGCGCGGCCACGCCGUAAAACCCCCGACUUUCUGAACGUUGACCUCGGAUCAGGUAGGAAUACCCGCUGAACUUAAGCAUAUCAAUAAGCGGAGGA